rnacentral:rRNA from 1 species
AGCGAACGCUGGCGGCAGGCCUAACACAUGCAAGUCGAACGAACCUUUCGGGGUUAGUGGCGGACGGGUGAGUAACACGUGGGAACGUGCCUUUAGGUUCGGAAUAACUCAGGGAAACUUGUGCUAAUACCGAAUGUGCCCUUCGGGGGAAAGAUUAAUCGCCUUUAGAGCGGCCCGCGUCUGAUUAGCUAGUUGGUUGAGGUAAUGGCUCACCAAGGCGACGAUCAGUAGCUGGUCUGAGAGGAUGAUCAGCCACAUUGGGACUGUGACACGGCCCAAACUCCUACGGGAUGCAGCAGUGGGGAAUCUUGCGCAAUGGGCGAAAGCCUGACGCAGCCAGGCCGCGUGAAUGAUGAAGGUCUUAGGAUUGUAAAAUUCUUUCACCGGGGACGAUAAUGACGGUACCCGGAGAAGAAGCCCCGGCUAACUUCGUG